GAGCUUAUAACUCAGCGGUAGAGUAUACUCCUGAUAAGAGUAAAGUCAGUAGUUCAAUUCUACUUAAGCUCA
rnacentral:tRNA from 1 species